rnacentral:rRNA from 1 species
GAUGAACGCUGGCGGCGUGCCUAACACAUGCAAGUCGAGCGAGAAGUUUGAAAAAUGAGUUUUCGAACAAGUGAUUCAAACGGAAAGCGGCGGACGGGUGAGUAACGCGUAGGCAACCUGCCCCGUGCAGAGGGACAGCCUCGGGAAACCGGGAUUAAGACCUCAUGAUAUCGGGUUAUCACAUGGUAAUCCGGUCAAAGAUUUAUCGGCAUGGGAUGGGCCUGCGUCUGAUUAGCUGGUUGGUGGGGUAACGGCCUACCAAGGCGAUGAUCAGGAGCAGAACUGGUAGGUUCAUCUGCCACAUUGGAACUGAGACACGGUCCAAACUCCUACGGGAGGCAGCAGUGAGGAAUAUUGCACAAUGAGCGAAAGCCUGAUGCAACAACGCCGCGUGAGCGAGGAAGGCCUUUGGGUCGUAAAGCUCUGUCCUUGGGGAAGAAACAAAUGACGGUACCCUUGGAGGAAGCCCCGGCUAACUACGUGCCAGCCGCCGCCGUAA